GACAUGUGCCAAACACAGAGGGGCUUUCUAGAUUGUUCGGAACACAGAUGCCAUGAAGCAGGCGCACCAGCACCACAAAGAGCACACUGUAGGUAUGCCGUAUCUGCAAGUAAAUGCCAGUGUACAAACACGGUUUUCUCAUGUGCCACAUGGAAAGUGUCUUGAGAGCAUUGUGAUGUCCCCAUGCUGACUCGGAGCGACCAUCUGGCAGGUGCUCAUCAGGAGCCAGGCAUAAACGUCUGGGGCUGAGCUCACUGAUUCCGGGCAGAAACCAUUCACAGAUGAUUCUCUGGCCAGAAUGAGUCAUGGCAAUACACAAUAGUGCCAUAAAAAGCAUACAGCACCUUUCACUGCAUGCAGUGAGAAAUACAGGAAAAAAGAGCAACUUGCUGUGAUUUAGACACAAGAAGUGUUAAUACAUAAAGGAGUAAUUCACAAUACACUUGUUCAGUGGCUAUUCUGCUCUGAAAGGAGAGAAUAUAAUCUACAUGAAGAUACCAGGAAGUGACACAAUCAAGUUGGAAGCUCAAGUGGUGACAACACAAUGGUUCAAAUCCUGGAUCUUCUUUUCUAAAUCUGAAAGAAGGAUAUGCAAGAAAUGAUCAACAUUCAGGUGACAAAUUCCUCUUAGAUGUCCACAUUAUACAGAACACAGGGGUCUGUGUGUCUCUUAGAGAUAUAUUUAGUUUUGUGCUUUGAUAUAAUGGAUAAAACAUCUCUUUUCACCAGACUUCUUCAAAUUUUCACAUAAAUCAGAGGAAGUUGCUAUUUUUGUCUAAAAAAUUUUAAGUCUAAUGGCAUUUAAAAAUGUAAGGCUGUAGCUGGUUAGAAUUUAUUAGAUAUGAAAAGACACACAACAGCCUUGAUUGGAUUUGAAGUAUCACAUCUCAAAAGGUUUGUUCUUAAAUAUUUUAACUUCAUUUUAAACAUGCGCUACUCACUUUACAGUUUCCCAAUUUUUCAGAAAAGAAUACUGACAUUUUAAUUUCUGUAAUUCUUCUUCCUUUUGACAUGGACAUUCCUGAACAGUAAAAGCAAAGUAAUGGCUGUCUUUGGUUUCACUCAUGUAUCCAUCCAUUCAUUGAGCUACUGACGUAUCCAUCCAUCCACCCACCUAUCCAUUUACUCAUUCUUCAUUCAACAAAUAUCUUGUAAUUCCUUUAAGAAAGAGUCCAUAGAAAUGUGGACAGAAGAGGAGUAGAAAACUACAGCUAAACAAAAAAAAGAAAAAAAAGAAGCAAGCUACAGUUAACAGUGUGAGGCAGGCUUUUAGAGAGUCUGCCAAUAGGUAGGAAUGGACCUUCUAGAAGAAGGGAAGUAAAUGUCCCACUUCACUUGGAUCACAGGUGAAUUCUGAGUGGGUGUGAAGUAACUGUCAAACAUACACAUCCAGAGGAAAGGCUGGAGUGCUGCAGAAAGUUGAAGCUGUCCUCUGAACAUAUUGAGUUAACUGGUGACGUUUUAUACAGAGAAAGGAAGAUUUAGGACACAUGACAUGGCUGAUUUCAAGUAUUUGAAAGACCAGCUUAGAAAAGCAGAGUGAAUAUGUUCUCCAGCAUCUGAGGAAACAAAACACAGCCAGCAGACGAAAGCUCGAUGAGGGAAGAUUUUGUCUGAUUGUAAAGAGGAGCUUUCUAGCAGUCACAGCGAUGCAGAGACUAAAGAGCUGCUCUGGGAGGUGGUGAGCAUUCUUUCACCAGGGACUCAAGUGGAGGCCACUGAGGGUUGAAAAGGGGAUUCAACACUGGUAGGAUAUUUGAAUCAAAAGAAGAGAAAAGACCCCAGAGUUUCCACGAGCCAUCAGCUGUGUGACGGCAGAGUCUGCCUGGCCUUGAGUGAUUUUCGCUUGCUCCAAGUUGUCCACCACUUUGUCAGGGUUUGAGAGAACAUCUGCUGCUUUCCUAAGUCCACAGGCACCAGAUACGGAGAUCUCUGGACUCAAAAACGCCUGGAGCAGAGUGAAGCAAGCUAGGGAGCCUUUAGCCCUCCGACUGCGGGGAGGCCCUGAGCAGUGGGCUGAAGACAAAUCAGCCGCCUCACCCCAAGGCCUCGGCCCCGCCCGAGCAAUCUCCCCUUUCUCCCCGUCAGGAAUCCGCCCUCCCUCCGGAGCUCAGACCCACCGCACCAUUGUCAUCUCACUUCGGUCACAUUCCUAGGGCAUUGGUGUGUGUUCCUUCCAUUUCUGCCACUAUAUAUUUUAAAAAUAGGUAUUCAUUUUUGUUUAGAUUUCCAAUGUACUACUCAUCAUAGGAAAUUUAGAGUACCAAAAAAAUGUAAAGAAGAAAAAAAUGCACCAGUAAUCCUACUACCUUAGACGAUAUUGGCAUAUUUGAGCAUUUUGUCCUAACUUCUUUUUCCUUUGCAUGACUGAGCUCCUCCUAAUGUAUAAUAUCUUACCUGCUUUUAAAUAAAAACGUGGCCUUCACACUAGCAGAUUCUUUCAUCAGUGUCAUUUUAAAUAGCUGUAUAAUUGUACUGCAGUUACUUUAUCUUCCUGAUUUUAAUAUUAAGCCCGGAAGGGGUUGGACUGCAGGUGCUUCUGGUACACUUCGCCCUGGGUGGUGGGCAGUGAGGUGCCCAGGUCUCAGUGGGUGCUGCCACCACCCAGCUGAUGCC